UACGUAGGGUGCAAGCGUUAAUCGGAAUUACUGGGCGUAAAGCGUGCGCAGGCGGCUUUGCAAGACAGAUGUGAAAUCCCCGGGCUUAACCUGGGAACUGCAUUUGUGACUGCAUGGCUGGAGUGCGGCAGAGGGGGAUGGAAUUCCGCGUGUAGCAGUGAAAUGCGUAGAUAUGUGGAGGAAUACCGAUGGCGAAGGCAGCCCCCUGGGAUAACACUGACGCUCAUGCACGAAAGCGUGGGGAGCAAACAGG
rnacentral:rRNA from 1 species